GAUGAACGCUGGCGGCGUGCUUAACACAUGCAAGUCGAACGGAAAGGCCCAAGCUUGCUUGGGUACUCGAGUGGCGAACGGGUGAGUAACACGUGGGUGAUCUGCCCUGCACUUCGGGAUAAGCCUGGGAAACUGGGUCUAAUACCGGAUAGGACCACUUCUUGGAUGUUGUGGUGGAAAGUUUUUUCGGUGUGGGAUGGGCUCGCGGCCUAUCAGCUUGUUGGUGGGGUAAUGGCCUACCAAGGCGUCGACGGGUAGCCGGCCUGGGAGGGUGUACGGCCACAUUGGGACUGAGAUACGGCCCAGACUCCUACGGGGGGCAGCAGGGGGGAAUAUUGCACAAUGGGCGCGAGCCUGAUGCAGCGACGCCGCGUGGGGGAUGAAGGCCUUCGGGUUGUAAACUCCUUUCGCUAGGGACGAAGCGUUUUGUGACGGUACCUGGAGAAGAAGCACCGGCUAACUACGUG
rnacentral:rRNA from 1 species